GACGAACGCUGGCGGCGUGCCUAAUACAUGCAAGUCGAACGCAGUGGGGACGGGUGAGUAACACGUGGGUAACCUCCCAUCAGAGGGGAUAACACUUGGAAACAGGUGCUAAACCGAUACUGAUGGAUGAACCCGCGGUGCAUGAGCUAGUUGGUGAGGUAACGGCUCACCAAGGCCACGAUGCAUAGCCGCGCGGAGAGGGUGAUCGGCCACACUGGGACUGAGAAACGGCCCAGACUCCUACGGGAGGCAGCAGUAGGGAAUCUUCGGCAAUGGGCGAAAGUCUGACCGAGCGACGCCGCGGGAGUGAAGAAGGUUUUCGGAUGGGAAAGCUCUGUUGUUGGAGAAGCGGUAGCUAACCAGGAAGCCACGGCUAACUACGUGCCAGCAGCCGCGGUAAUAC
rnacentral:rRNA from 1 species